GACGUAGGGCGCGAGCGUUGUCCGGAUUUAUUGGGCGUAACGAGCUCGUAGGCGGCUUGUUGCGUCGACCGUGAAAACCCGCGGCUUAACUGUGGGCUUGCGGUCGAUACGGGCGGGCUGGAGUUCGGUAGGGGAGACUGGAAUUCCUGGUGUAGCGGUGAAAUGCGCAGAUAUCAGGAGGAACACCGGUGGCGAAGGCGGGUCUCUGGGCCGAUACUGACGCUGAGGAGCGAAAGCGUGGGGAGCGAACAGG
rnacentral:rRNA from 1 species